UCAUGGACUGCGGAUUAAACGGGCCAACCCACCAAAAUUUCAAAAAAAAACUAUAAAACAAUAAUCCAAACAGAGAAAAUGUAGUACUAAAAUAGCAAAAUAAAUAGAGAAUGACAAGUAUCCACAUGUUGUUUUUGUGGAUAAAGAAAAUGUAGGGAUCAAGCAUAAUGAAGUAUUGCUAGAUCACGAAGCAUAAAAAUAUGAUUUGAAAGGUAUUUGAAUAGUUUUAAGAUUGAU
rnacentral:lncRNA from 1 species